AAACCAUUCUCCCCCCUCAGUAUGGGCGACAGAAAAGGGCAUGAGGAGCAACAGAAAUAGUACCGCAAGGGAAAGCUGAAAGAGAACUGAAACAACCCAAUAAAGCAAAGAAAAGCAGAGUUAAUUCCUCGUACCUUUUGCAUCAUGAUUUAGCCAGAAAUAUUUGAGCAAAGAGAACUUUAGUUCAAAACCCCGAAACUAGACGAGCUACUCCGAGGCAGCCUAAAAUAGGGCAAACCCGUCUCUGUGGCAAAAGAGUGGGAAGAACUCCGAGUAGGGGUGACAGACCUAUCGAGCCUAGUUAUAGCUGGUUGCCUGGAAAUUGGAUAGAAGUUCAGCCUCACGGCUUCUCCCCUCAACGACCUUACUUUCACCCAGUAGAAACCUAAAGAAACCAUGAGAGUUAAUCAAAGGAGGGACAGCUCCUUUGAUACGAGACACAACUCUUCCAGGAGGGUAAAGAUCAUAAUAUUUAAGGCUAAAUGUCCUAGUGGGCCUGAAAGCAGCCAUCUAAACAAAAUGCGUCAAAGCUUGAACAUAUAUGCCCCUCCUAUUAUCCCGAUACCUUAUCUUAACCCCCUACUUCUGACCAGGCCAUCCCAUGCUCACAUGGGAGAGAUAAUGCUAAAAUGAGUAAUAAGAGAGCCCGUCUCUCUCCCCGCAUACGUGUACUUCGGAACGGACCACCCCCCGAAAAUUAACGGCCCCAAAUAUAGAGUGAAAUGAAUUAUCUAAUAGAGAGCUAGAAAAACAAUCAACCCCCCCCCCCACCGUUAACCUUACCCUAGCGGGCCCCCUGGGAAAGACUAAAAGGAAGAGAAGGAACUCGGCAAACACUAAGCCUCGCCUGUUUACCAAAAACAUCGCCUUUUGCAAAAUUAAUGAAUAAGAGGUCCCGCCUGCCCACUGACAGCAAUGUUUAACGGCCGCGGUAUUUUAACCGUGCGAAGGUAGCGUAAUCACUUGUCCUUUAAAUGGGGACCUGUAUGAAUGGCUUUACGAGGGCUUAACUGUCUCCUCUUCCCGGUCAAUGAAAUUGAUCUCCCCGUGCAAAAGCGGGGAUGCAAUCAUAAGACGAGAAGACCCUAUGGAGCUUUAGACACCAAGACAGACCAUGUUAAGCACCCCUGCAUAAAGGACAAAACUAGAGGAUUCCUGUCUGAAUGUCUUAGGUUGGGGCGACCAAGGGGGAAUAAGAAGCCCCCAUGAGGAUAGGAAAUACUAUUUCCACAACUAAGAGCCCCCCCUCUAAUAACCAAAAUCUUUGACCUGCAAGAUCCGGCAAUGCCGAUUAACGAACCAAGUUACCCUAGGGAUAACAGCGCAAUCCUCUUCUAGAGCCCAUAUCGACAAGAGGGUUUACGACCUCGAUGUUGGAUCAGGACAUCCUAGUGGCGCAACCGCUACUAAGGGUUCGUUUGUUCAACGAUUAAAGUCCUACGUGAUCUGAGUUCAGACCGGAGUAAUCCAGGUCGGUUUCUAUCUAUGUAUUGACCUUUCCUAGUACGAAAGGACCGGAAAGGGGAGGCCCCUGUUUCAAGACACGCCUCACCUCUAACUGAUGAAAACAACUAAAACAGAAAAGAGGC
rnacentral:rRNA from 1 species